CGCGGGGUGGAGCAGUCUGGCAGCUCGUCGGGCUCAUAACCCGAAGGUCGUAGGUUCAAAUC
rnacentral:tRNA from 1 species